ensembl:lncRNA
GGGUAAACCACGGCCUGAAGCGUGCCCUGGGGUCCUGCCCCCCCCUCCUUUUUCAGUUUGUUUGCGACCAUUGCUGCUGCUGCUCAAAAUUCAGUCCGUCCUGGUUCUGACCCCAAUUGGGGCAGUCCUUUCUCCAGUGUCGAUGUUCACCGCAGGUGAAACCUGCAUCUUCUUCUGUGUUUUUGUCCAUUCUGAGGUGCCUUCUGUCCUCAGUUACUCCUCUUGUCUCGGUCACGCCCUUUUUCGCCACCCGAUCAUCCGUGUUGGUCCAUCACUGUCCUGCACAGUGUGAAUGCAAAGUUAUCAAGGUCAGCAUUCUUUCGCUCGGCCUUACUUUUCAUUCGGGCUUGGCGGGCGUCUCGUCACAGCUCUGUCAGCUGACGCAGUCUGGGAAUUUUCCCCCGUGUAGUGAAACGGGCCUUAGGUUUAGUGCUCUCCGUCUCGGCUGCAUGAGAUCACAUUCCUGCAGGUCUGUGGACAUUCUCAGGUCGUUGUUGUGGGUCCAGCUGUUGCAGCAUUUGGUCAGUGUCACGUAUGGGGGAGAGCAGGAGUCCAGUCAGCCUCGGCUUUCAGGGCCGGCAAAGCAGCCUGUAAUUAAAUAUGUAUAGAAAAAACAAAAACAAAACAAAACAAAAACAAACAAAAAACAAAAACAAACGAACAGGAAAAUGUUGUUGUGUUGGCUGUGUUAUUCAGAGGGGAGGCACACCGGGACCAGGCCCUGUGUCAGCCUUCUCUCCCCCUUUUUUUUGUUUUUUCUCUCCCGAUAUAAUCAACUCCUAACCCACCAAGUUGACAGGACAACACCGGUAUAUAUUAAAAUUCUUAAGAUCAUGUUUAAAAGCCCAAAAAUGGAACUUUCUUUCAUUCAGUAAUCACUUUUAUUAAUCAAUCAACAGAAAACAUGUCACAAUUUGAAUCUUUUAACCACUAAAUUUGUUGUGUCUUGCCUGGUUGGUUAGACCAGUGUUCCUUUUUUUUUUUUUUUGUUAAAUUGUUGUCCUGCAACCCAGAGGGUUUCUUUGUCAGUAAUGUAUAGACUUCAUCAUUUAAGUAUGUUAAUUUUUCUUUAACCUUGCUGGAAAAUCUUCACGUGUUCAUGAGUGUAAGCUGUUUCUUCAUUGCGUGUAUGUGCAUUUGUAUAAAAGCAGGUUAAUUUUAUCUUUUCUCAAACUAGGCGUUACCUUAAAAGGAGCCUUUCUCUCAGAUUUCUCUGCUUGUGUGUGUUUUUGUUUCACCUUUUUGUUGUGAUGCUCCGGACGCCUUCCCAACCUCCACAAGUCCGUUGGCC